GAUGAACGCUGACAGAAUGCUUAACACAUGCAAGUCAACUUGAAUUUGGGUUUUUAACUUAGAUUUGGGUGGCGGACGGGUGAGUAACGCGUAAAGAACUUGCCUCACAGCUAGGGACAACAUUUAGAAAUGAAUGCUAACACCUGAUAUUAUGAUUUUAAGGCAUCUUAGAAUUAUGAAAGCUAUAAGCACUGUGAGAGAGCUUUGCGUCCCAUUAGCUAGUUGGAGAGGUAACAGCUCACCAAGGCGAUGAUGGGUAGCCGGCCUGAGAGGGUGAACGGCCACAAGGGGACUGAGACACGGCCCUUACUCCUACGGGAGGCAGCAGUGGGGAAUAUUGGACAAUGGACCGAGAGUCUGAUCCAGCAAUUCUGUGUGCACGAUGAAGUUUUUCGGAAUGUAAAGUGCUUUCAGUUGGGAAGAAAAAAAUGACGGUACCAACAGAAGAAGUGACGGCUAAAUACGUGCCAGCAGCCGCGGUAAUACGUAUGUCACGAGCGUUAUCCGGAUUUAUUGGGCGUAAAGCGCGUCUAGGUGGUUAUGUAAGUCUGAUGUGAAAAUGCAGGGCUCAACUCUGUAUUGCGUUGGAAACUGUAUAACUAGAGUACUGGAGAGGUAAGCGGAACUACAAGUGUAGAGGUGAAAUUCGUAGAUAUUUGUAGGAAUGCCGAUGGGGAAGCCAGCUUACUGGACAGAUACUGACGCUCAAGCGCGAAAGCGUGGGUAGCAAACAGGAUUAGAUACCCUGGUAGUCCAAGGGCGAAUUCCACAGUGGAUAUCAAGCUUAUCGAUACCGUCGACCUCGAGGGGGGGCCCGGUAACAUGCAUUAUAUAUCUCUUUAGUGAGGGGUUA
rnacentral:rRNA from 1 species